rnacentral:rRNA from 1 species
GAUGAACGCUGGCGGCGUGCCUAAUACAUGCAAGUCGAGCGAACAGACGAGGAGCUUGCUCCUCUGACGUUAGCGGCGGACGGGUGAGUAACACGUGGAUAACCUACCUAUAAGACUGGGAUAACUUCGGGAAACCGGAGCUAAUACCGGAUAAUAUAUUGAACCGCAUGGUUCAAUAGUGAAAGACGGUUUUGCUGUCACUUAUAGAUGGAUCCGCGCCGCAUUAGCUAGUUGGUAAGGUAACGCUUACCAAGGCAACGAUGCGUAGCCGACCUGAGAGGGUGAUCGGCCACACUGGAACUGAGACACGGUCCAGACUCCUACGGGAGGCAGCAGUAGGGAAUCUUCCGCAAAGGGCGAAAGCCUGACGGAGCAACGCCGCGUGAGUGAUGAAGGUCUUCGGAUCGUAAAACUCUGUUAUUAGGGAAGAACAAAUGUGUAAGUAACUAUGCACGUCUUGACGGUACCUAAUCAGAAAGCCACGGCUAACUACGUG